ACCAGGUGCAGUGGCAUACACCUGUAAUCCCAGCAGCCAGGGAGGCUAAGGUAGGAGGAUUGCAAGUUUGAGGCCAGUUUUGGUAAUUUAUCAAGGCCUUAAGCAACUUAGUGAGAUUCUGUCUCAA
rnacentral:sRNA from 1 species